ACAAACAACAGACAGAAGUGAGUCACAUUAUGGAAAAAAUGAGAAAUGAGAGAAGCCAACUAGAUGAAGAAAAACAAAAGAUGAAAGAACAGAAAUGGCAAAUGAAGAAAGAAAGAGAUGAUGUAGACCAAAGUAGAAAGGAUCUGACUGAAGACAUAAAGAUGAUGACACUUCAGAAACAAGUGACUGAAGAUGAGAAGAACAAGUUAGAACAGAUGAAGAUUGAGCUGCAAAGAGAAGCUGAUGAUAUCAGAAAGCUCAAAGAAGAAACACAAAAAUGAGAGACAGAGUUUGGAAAAGAUGGCUGAAGAACUUGAGAAAGAGAAAGAAAAUAUUGUUCAUCUUGCUGAAGAUACAAAGAGAAAACAUGAGAUUCUGGAUGAAAUGAAAGCUGCAAGUGAGUCUUCAAUGGCAGAUCUACAAAGAGAGAAAAACAACCUUAGAGGAAAUGACAUUGGAGAAGAAGGAGACCAUCACAAGACAAACACAUGAAAUGAAAAAUCAAGAGGAACAAAUGAGACAAAAACAACAUGAACUCGCACAACUGAAAACUGAAAUUCAGAAUCAGAAACAGGAACUAGACAAUGACAGAAACAUUAUAAUAAAAGACAGAAGUCAGCUUGAUCUGAGACAGUCUGAGCUAGACAAACAACAGACAGAAGUGAGUGACAUUAUGGAAAAAAUGAGAAAUGAGAGAAGCCAACUAGAUAAAGAUAAACAAGAGAUGGAAGAACAGAAAUGGCAAAUGAAGAAAGAAAGAGAUGAUGUAGACCAAAGUAGAAAAGAUCUGACUGAAGACCUAAAGAUCAUGACACUUCAGAAACAAGUGAUUGAAGAUGAGAAGGAAGUAAUAAAAAAGAUCAAAACUGACCUGCAAAGAGAGACACAAGAGUUUGACAAGAUCAAACUACAAACACAACAGAGUUUGGAAAAGAUGGCUGAAGAACUUGAGAAAGAGAAAGAAAAUAUUCUUCAUCUUGCUGAAGAUACAAAGAGAAAACAUGAGAUUCUGGAUGAAAUGAAAGCUGCAAGUGAGUCUUCAAUGGCAGAUCUACAAAGAGAGAAAAACAACCUUAAAGAAAUGAAAUUGAACAUCUCCAAACAAAUUGAUGAUCUUGAAAAUGAGAAAGAUAAAAUAAAACUCAGACAAGAUGAACUAGAGCAACUACAAGCAGAGAAUCAAAAACAACAAUGUGAAUUGAAAAACCUCAAAGAAAUCAUCAUGACUGAGAAGCAGCAGCUUGAUCUCAGAGAGACUGAAAUAGAAAAACAACAGAAGGAGCUGCAUGACAUUGUGGAGAUUGCAAAGAAUGAGAAGAGCAUUGCUGAAACUCAAAAAGCUGCAAUGAUCAGGGAAAAACAGGACAUGAUGACUGAGCUGAGAAAGAAGUCUGAAGAUGUUGAGCUUCAGAUGAAGCAUGUAUUGACUGAAAGGAAACGACUGGAAAAUGAUAGACAACUGACUGAAGAGAGACAUGGAAAAUACUGAACAAAAACUAGUUAAUGUAGACAGAGACUCAGAGAGUACUGAAACAUGAGAGAGAAGCUUUGGAGAAUGAGAAGGAAGUAAUAAAAAAGAUCAAAACUGACCUGCAAAGAGAGACACAAGAAUUUGAAAAGAUCAAACUACAAACACAAGAGGAAAGACAAAAGCUGGAGGAAAUGACAGCUCAACUCCAGAAAGAGAGAGAAGAAAUCAAUGAUCUUACUGAGGAGACCAAAAGAAGAGACAUGGUCUUGGAUGAAAUGAACACAGAAAUUGAAGUGAAAACUAAAGCCAUUCAAUCUGAUAGAGACAUGAUUGAAAAGGAAAAACAUGAACUUGAGAAAACCAAACAAGAACUUGCUAAAAUCGAAAAAGAUCUUGAAAAGCAAUUUGCUGAGCAAGAAGAAAAGAAUGAAUUCAUACGGGCAGAGAUACAGAAAGAGAGAGACAACCUAAAGGAGAUGAAUGAGACCAUCACAAGACAAAUACAUGAAAUUAAAAAUCAAGAGGAACAAAUGAGACAAAAACAACAUGAACUCGAACAACUGAAAACUGAAAUUCAGAAUCUGCAGAGAGAACCAGACAAUGACAGAAACAUUAUAAUAAAAGACAGAAGUCAGCUUGAUCUGAGACAGUCUGAGCUAGACAAACAACAGACAGAAGUGAGUCACAUUAUGGACAAAAUGAGAAAUGCGAGAAGCCAACUAGAUAAAGAUAAACAAGAGAUUGAGAAACAGAAACAGCUAUAUAUUAUUUAAAUAUGAAAAAUGAUAAAUUAUUAGACUUAACACAGCAAUUAAAAUUAUUAAUAAAUUGUAUAUAUAGAUAGAUAGAUAGAUAGAUAGAUAGAUAUAGAUAGAUUGAUUGAUUGAUUUAUACUGACUGACUGAUAUAAUCCUACUUACCCAGCUCACCAAAGGCCAUAGCCUUAUGUCCUGAGCCACACCACAGAGUCCCUGGAAUCAUCCAUGCUCGCUUUGAGCGGUGCAGCGUCAGUGUGGAGCUUUCUCCACUGUCCUGGUGCUCAAAUCCAUCAGGUUCAACGCUCCUCAGGUCUCUGGCCCUCCGUACAGAUGCUGUAAAUUCCUCUGUAAUGCCUGCAGCCUCACAGGGGCCAUGAGGAUCAAUCAGAUCCCUGAUGUCAAAGCGUUCAUCAAGGGUCUUUGAGAAAGAACUGUCCUCCCAGCACCUGGACAGGUAACUCUCAAUCACAGAUUGCUCAUCACUUGUCAUGCAGCUAAAAAGGCUGUUGUUUUUGUUCCAGAUGCUGUCAUACAAGAGAAGAGACGUCUGAGUUCUUCGGAGAAAUGCAUACUGUGUUUGACCACCUGAAGCGGAUCUAGUCCAAAUACAGAACGUGUCAGAGCUGUCAGCACUGAAACAAGCAUGAAACAGCAUGAAAAGAUACAGAACUGCCUGUAAAAGCUGGCUGCUUUGCAUUUUUAUGGCAAAAUUAAUAACUGUACAGCUAUUUUGUGAAUGAAUGAAUAGCCAGAGGUGCUGCAGGUUAACUGGGUUUUUAACCCCUCAUCUCUGGCAAAGAGCGCGCCUCAACACAGCCUUAUUUAUACUCCGUAUGUGGGUUCUUCCUUGCAUCGUGGCUCAUGGCCACAUCAGAACAGACGGGGUGGGAUGAUACAAGGGGGUGUGUCUUUGGUAAAUACAGACUUGGAAGCACAGAUGUCUGCACACACAUGUACACAAAAGAUGUAAAUCAGAUCAUAAACCCUCCCCGUUUCCUGGGUUCACACGAGUAGAAUUAUCUCUCCGGCUGAUCACUAUCGUUUUUUAUUAGUGUCAACAAUGUCCUCCAGCAGUAAACAUUUAAUAUCUUGGUACUCAUGAUGAAAUAAUGCUUUACAACAUGACAAAAAGAUUCAAACUCCAUGUGGGAGGAGAAAGAAACAUGCGAUCCAAAACUAUUACAUUUAAGUGUUCAGGUUAAAUUAGGUCGGCAUUUGUAUUCUGUGCAUUAUUAGGCUAUAUGAAAGUUUUAUAAAAUCAUUAAGUGCCUAUUUAUUUAGCAUGCUGUCUGCACAUAAAUUGAAUUUUUUACCAGUCAUAAAUAUUUAUUACUAGCCACAAACCAUAUUUUGCAUUUAUUUAUUUACAAAUGCAAAAAAAAAGUCCCUAAAAUAAUUACUUAGUUGGAUUUUUUUUAUUGCAUAUUAAUAACUAACAUAUUUCUUACAGGCAAUUCCUUUCUCUCUGUAAAAUUGCAG
rnacentral:lncRNA from 1 species